GGAUCAAGAAAAAUCAAGCCAAAGCAAGGUGGUGUUAAAUCUGAUGCAGAAAAGCCCAGUACAAAAGAAUAUUUCCGCUCACAUUCGAUGCCAUCAAUAGCUGCUGAAUACAGGAUGGAUGGAAUUCAAAAACUAAACCUAGCAAUGGCAGAAACUGCUGAUCCUUCUUCAUGCUCAGUCCAUCGUAGGAAGAAUAAGAGUUUCAGGGAUAUUAAACAUAAGAUAAAACAUGCUAUUAAACAUAGCAAAAAUGAGAAGCAACGGAUCACAAUGGAUGCAGUCCUUCACAAGAUUCCUCAUGGUCAUGGGUUCCCCAAUAA
rnacentral:misc_RNA from 1 species